GAAAAGACAAUGAUAACAAAGAACAAUAUUGAUAGUUCUCUGCUUUUAGGUAUUGAGUUCUGCCCAAACAAAGUAACAUCAGUCAUGUGAGUAGAACUCCUCACAAUACUGAGAGCUGGGCUGAGCUGGGGGUGCAGGUGGAGGGGGUGACCUGGACAAGGGAAAUGCACAAACAAUAAAAGAAGUACUUUCUAGAUUAUAAAGGACCAUACAGAGCAAGGUGAAGUCUACUCAUGCUCUCACUACUGCUCUGCUGCCCCCCUGCUUUUUGAAAAUGGGAAGAAGAGUAUGAACACCAAUCACGGAACACAUGUAAAAUACUGGGAAAAACAGGCAUGUUUCAUACUCACGUGGAAGUGGUUUCUGAUCAAAGUAUAUGCCCUUGGUGUUAAAGCCCAUGAGAACUGAGUUCAUUGACUCAUCCAAACAUUCACAGAGCAUCAACUAUUACCUGGGCAAGGUUUCUCUUGUCCUGUGUUUAUGUCUAAGUAGAGGUGCAUACUGAUUAGAAAAGACCUCUUCACAGGAAGCUGGGAAAGGCCUGGACUCCUCAGCCACAAAGGGGUCAGAAGUAAAGCAGGAGUAGGUAUUCCAAGUAGAAGGCUUGUAAAGCUUUCAUGUGUUCUAUAAAAACGGUACAUUUGGUGUAGAAAAUGCACUUGAUGUGGGCACCCUUUCCAUUGAUUUGUGCUCUGCCGAAUGCAGACCUGUCUUCAGCAGACGCAUGAGAGGCACAACCCAAAGCUUCAGGCAUUGUCCCACAUGGCACUUUCUUUCAGCACAAGAUUGUACAGUUCAGCCUGGGCAUCAGUUUCUAGAUUGUAGCUGUCAUCAGCCUCAGCCCAAACCACAGUUUAACUGGCUUUAUUUGGUUACAAACAUAAUUGGAAUGAAAGGUUUAGAAGGAGAGGUAAGCUAGAGCUAAUCUUCCUAUCAUAAAAGAAAACACAUACACACUUGUUAUUUCCUUUUUCAUUUUUGGGCACCCUGGUGAUUGAGUGGCUCUUCCACACCAUGCGGAUCUAACCUCAGAGGGCAGUGUAUGAAGCAUUCCCCUGAAAUCUUCUAAACCUAGGGGAGCAGUGGUGGAAACCAUCAGUGUCCCUCCACGGCUUGUCUCUCAUGUGGACGGCCACAUCCCGGCUCAGGGCACAGUCCUGGCACGUGUACCGCUGCCAGGCUCCCUGCCAGGGAGAACAGCGCGCCCUCCUCCUUGCUAGAGGGACAGGAACUCCUGUGCAGCCUCCCUCGCCCGAGGGGGAAGGCACUGAUGAUGCCCUGGCAGGCUCCUUCCAAGUGGCCUGGUGCCCUGCUCCGGAUCAACUCAACAGAUAAUGAAAAGACCUCUUCAUGGCUUGAACUCCCUCACACAAAAGAAAACCUUCACGCCCGCUUCUGCUGAGGCCCAUCAGCGCCGUUCCCUCUCAGCUGAGGAACAGAGAGGGACUUCAGGAAAACCUUGGCAGAAGAUCACUGGCCAGCAGGAGUUGCCAAUCACAGCACAGACAACAAAUAUGACACUGGCUGAAUAGUUAGUCGUCAUGUCUUCUCAGAUCUGGUUUGGAUGACCUUGACAGUUUUGAGGAGUACAGUUCAGCAUCGUGACUGACACGAGGGGUGAUGUAUAAUUAAGGCUGAGAGAAGAUGCUGGAGCAGAAGGAGAAGAUAAAGGCAGGAGGAGGAGCAGAAUGCUCACAAAGUGGAAAAAGAACUAAAUAUCCAAGGCUUUAACAUUUCACAGAAGAAAUAGAAGAUUUUGUGAAAUUUCUACAAUGUGCCAAGGAUAAAAAUACAAGUAGGGUAAAGUACUAACACUUUGGGGACAGGGAGGCAUAAAUCAAUGUGGUAAUGUCAGCAAGGGAGAAGCGUGUGGAAGUAAUUUGAAGAACUCCAUCAUGUGCAUUGUUGUUUUAGAAAACAUUAUUCUUUGUGUAAUAGGAAAGGUGAAGAUAUAUUAGCAGCAACAAUUUCUUUUUGUCUUCCCCCCAAGUUUUGUGUAAAAGUAAUACUUGUCCACAGUAAAUAUAAUUCAAUCCAUAUUGAAGAGAACUAAAAUAAAAAAUAAUUUCCUUAGCCCUGGC